GUGUUUUGGUAAAUUACAUGUUUUAGCACUUAAAGCACUUAAAUAACAAUAAAUAACAUCUGUCUCAUGCUUCUGUCAGUCCUUUAGUCUCUGUAGACAGCUAGAGGAGUCUGGGACAACAUUAUAUGCUUCAUAUCAUAAUGAGGAGCCAUUAAAAACAGGGGGAAUCUGAAAACCAUGAGGGACAACCCCUCUCAUGCUCUCUAUGCUGAGCUGAGGAGCUCCUGCAGCCACAUGCAGCCACAUGCAGCCCCAGGCCUCAAAGCGCUUUGGAGGCUCAUUUGUGCCGUCAGCCAUCAGGCUCCACAGCAACAAACUGACAGAUAUGUGCCUGAUUUUAUCUGAGACAUUUUUCUGGUUUUAAAUGGUUGUAAAUAAUUAUUAUUGAUUUUAUGGUGUAAAUAGUGUGUAAAUACUGCAUCUCUUCUUUUAUAUUCCUUUGUGCUGCUAUUUCGACCUAAAUUUCCUCCACGGGGGAUUAAUAAAGUUAUGGCUUAUCUGGUCUUAUCUUAUAAA